rnacentral:snoRNA from 1 species
UUGCAAUGAUGACUCCUUAGGACACCUUUGGAUUGCCCAUGAAAAAAGAAAUGUAAGAUCAAAUAUGAGCAAC